rnacentral:misc_RNA from 1 species
GAUGAAGAACGCGGCGAAAUGCGAUACUUGGUGUGAAUUGCAGAAUCCCGUGAACCAUCGAGUUUUUGAACGCAAGUUGCGCCCGAAGCCUUUUGGCCGAGGGCACGUCUGCCUGGGCGUCACGCAUCGCGUCGCCCCCCACAAUUCUCCGUAAAGGGAACGUGUGUUUUGGGGGCGGAUAUUGGUCUCCCGUGCUCAUGGCGUGGUUGGCCGAAAUAGGAGUCCUUUCGAUGGACGCACGAACUAGUGGUGGUCGUAAAAACCCUCGUCUUUUGUUUCGUGCUGUUGCUCGCAAGGUAAACUCUUUAAAAACCCCAAUGUGUCGUCUCUUGACGACGCUUCGACCGCGACCCCAGGUCAGGCGGGACUACCCGCUGAGUUUAAGCAUAUCAAUAAGCGGAGGA